rnacentral:rRNA from 1 species
GACGAACGCUGGCGGCGUGCUUAACACAUGCAAGUCGAACGGUGAAGCGCCUUCCUUUUUGGUGGGUGUGGAUGAGUGGCGAACGGGUGAGUAACACGUGAGUAACCUGCCCCCUUCUUCUGGAUAACCGCAUGAAAGUGUGGCUAAUACGGGAUAUUCUGGGUCUGUCGCAUGAUGGGUCUGGGAAAGAUCUUGUCUCGGGGGGGGAUGGGCUCGCGGCCUAUCAGCUUGUUGGUGGGGGGAUGGCCUACGAAGGGGGGGGCGGGUAGCCGGCCUGUGAGGGUGGGCGGUCUGGCCGGGGCGGAGACCCGGCCAGGAUGGGUACGAGAGGCAGCAGUGAGUAAUAUGGGACGAUGGGGGCAAGCCUGAUGCAGCGUGGCCGCGAGAGUGAUGGAGGCCUGCGGGUUGUGAGACGCUUUCGCCAGUGAAGCAGGCCUGCCUCGUGUGUGGGUGUGUUGACGGUAGCUGGAGAAGAAGCGCCGGCUAACUACGUG